rnacentral:rRNA from 1 species
GAUAACCGUGGUAAUUCUAGAGCUAAUACAUGCAAGUAGGCGUGACUUUUGGAAGCGCUGUAUUUAUUAGAUAACAAACCGAUAUUCCUUUGGUCUAUUGAGGUGAAUCAUAGUAACUGAUCGAAUCGUGGCGUGCCGCGAUAAAUCAUUCAAGUUUCUGACCCAUCAGCUGUCGAUGGUAGUGUAUUGGACUACCAUGGCUUUUACGGGUGACGGAGGAUUAGGGUUCGAUUCCGGAGAGGGAGCCUGAGAAACGGCUACCACAUCUAAGGAAGGCAGCAGGCGCGUAAAUUACCCAAUCCCGACUCGGGGAGGUAGUGACAAGAAAUAACGGACCGGGUCAAUGAUCCGGGAUUGCAAUGAGUUAAAUCCAAAUCCCUUUGCGAAAUCGAUUGGAGGGCAAGUCUGGUGCCAGCAGCCGCGGUAAUUCCAGCUCCAAUAGCGUAUAUUAGAGUUGUUGCAGUUAAAAGCUCGUAGUUGGAUUUCUGGGGGGCGCGGAUUGUCCGCAGCCGCGUGUGCAGAUGCGCCCUUUCAUCCUUCUGUUAACGUCUCAUGGCAUUCAUUUGCUGGGGGCGGGCUCAGAUAUUUUACCUUGAGAAAAUUAGAGUGUUUCAGGCAGGCUCGCGUCGGAAUACAUUAGCAUGGAAUAAUAGAAUAGGACUCAGUCCUCCUUUGUUGGUUUGAGGGGUCAGAGUAAUGGUUAAUAGGGAUAGUUGGGGGCAUUAGUAUUUGACUGUCAGAGGUGAAAUUCUCGGAUUUGUUAAAGACUAACUUAUGCGAAAGCAUUUGCCAAGGAUGUUUUCAUUAAUCAAGAACGAAAGUUAGGGGAUCAAGACGAUCAGAUACCGUCCUAGUCUUAACCAUAAACUAUGCC